CCUUCUUCUUCAUUUACUAUAAUCACAGAUCAAACAGGAAUGGGAUUUAGGGCUUUUUCUGAGUGAUUAAGAUAGAAAUAUAUUCUGGGUUGAAGAUCAAGCUUCAACGUUUUGAGGAGAAACGUCGAUCACACGCAUAGCAGAUCAAACAGGAAUGGGAUUUAGGGCUUUUUCUGAGUGAUUAAGAUAGAAAUAUAUUCUAGGCAACGUUUUGAGGAGAAAUUUCGAUCACACGCAUAGCAGGUAACAUCAUAUUCUCUUCUAUUUCUUCUUAAGAAUUCAUAUUUCAAUUAAAACAUCAGGAAGAGGAGAAAAUGUUAGCUAACAUGGCCUAAAUAGCCAUAUCAGCAUGUAAUUUGAAUUUUUAAUAUUAUUGUAAGUGGUUAAUAUUAUAGCAGCCAUUAUAACAUUUUCUCUGUCUUGGUUUGAAAGAGCAAGUUAUACUCUUCCAGUUAGUGAAGGAUCAUGUGAUGUCUUAUUAUUGAAUAACAUAACACAAUUUGUGGGUUA